AUGCUUCCCUCUAGUUGCCAACUAUUAUUUCCCAGAACUUUUCCUUCAUUCCUGCCCCAAAAAACUUUUAGCUCUCUUUUAGCUCCGGAGUAUAUUCCUCUGAGAAAACAGUCAGGGCCAGUAGUCAAGACAGUGAAAAGCUGGCCGGAGGGAGCAAUGGAGCAGUUAAAGGACUGUUUUGAACAAACGAAUUGGGAAGUUUUUGACCAUCCUGAUCUGGAAGAACAUACAGCUGCAGUGUUAGGGUAUAUGGCACACUGUAUUGACACGGUCACAGUGGAUAAACGUAUCCGGGUUUAUCCCAAUCAAAAACCUUGGAUGACCGGGAAGGUUAGACGCCUGUUGUAUGCUAGAAAUAAGGCUUUUAAGUCUGGAGAUGAUCUAGACUACAGUGCAGCAAGAACGAACUUGAGGAGAGGCAUUAAGCAAGCUAAGGCCGAAUACAAGAGGAGAAUUGAAGACUGCUUUCUCAGCAAUAACAUGAGGCAAGUUUGGCAGGGGGUUCAACAACUAACAAACUACAAAGCAAAAAAGGUUUCCUCGGGCGGAGGCGUGGAGGUGGCUGAGGAGUUGAACAACUUUUUUGCUCGAUUCGAGAUCGAUCAAACUGAAACUGUUCGUUUGCCAUCAUUUACUCAGCAGAGUCCCCCCUUCAUUGUGAAUGAGCAGGAUGUGAGACAGACUAUGAAAGUGGUUAACUCCAGAAAAGCAGCUGGACCCGACUUAAUUCCUGGUCGGGUGGUAAAAGACUGUGCUGAUCAGCUAGCCGGGAUAUGGACUGUAAUUUUUAAUCGAUCCCUGACACUAUGCGCAGUUCCCGUCUGUCUCAAGGCUUCCGUCAUCGUUCCACUGCCUAAAAAGUUGCCUACAAACAGUCCGAGUGACUACAGGCCGGUGGCACUAACUUCAAUCUUAAUGAAGUGCUUUGAGCAGUUAGUUCGGAAAUAUAUUAUCUCCUGCCUUCCUCAUCCCUUUGAUGGGCUUCAGUUUGCUUAUAAAGAAAAUAGAUCAACCGAGGAUGCGAUCAAUACUGUGCUUUAUAUGGCUUUAUCCCACUUGGAAACACAAGGGAAUUAUGUAAGAAUGCUGUUCGCGGACUUUAGCUCUGCUUUUAACACCAUUAUACCCCACAGAUUAAUAGACAAACUUAAAGAUCUUGACUUUCCAGAUUCUAUCUGUCUGUGGAUUUUGGAUUUUUUAACAAGUCGUCCACAAAGGGUUAAACUGAAUGACUACAUCUCUACUGACAAGAUACUCAGCACUGGCACUCCACAAGGCUGUGUCCUUAGUCCACUACUGUUCUCCAUUUAUUCAUCGGAUUGCACCAAUAACCAUCCCAGUAAUAGGAUUAUCAAAUUUGCAGACGAUACUACACUAGUAGGACUUAUCUCUGGGGAUGAUGAGUCUGCGUAUCGGGACGAGGUAUUACAGCUAUCCCGCUGGUGCAAAAAAAAAUAA
rnacentral:lncRNA from 1 species